ensembl:snRNA U1 U1 spliceosomal RNA
AUGCCCUCUGUGCAGGGGCGAUACCAUGAUCACAAAGAUGGUUUUUCUAGGGUAAGACUUAUCUGUUGCAAUCUGGAUGUGCUGACCCCUGCGAUUAGCCCAAAUGUGGGAAACUGCACAAUUUGUGAUAGUGGGGAACAACAUUCGCAUUCUCCCCUA